AGUGAACGCUGGCGGCAGGCCUAAUACAUGCAAGUCGAACGGCAGCACAGCAGAGCUUGCUCUGUGGGUGGCGAGUGGCGGACGGGUGAGGAAUACAUGGGAAUCUGCCCAGUCGUGGGGGAUAACGUAGGGAAACUUACGCUAAUACCGCAUGCGCCCUUCGGGGGAAAGCCGGGGACCUUCGGGCCUGGCGCGAUUGGAUGAGCCCAUGUCGGAUUAGCUAGUUGGCGGGGUAAUGGCCCACCAAGGCGACGAUCCGUAGCUGGUCUGAGAGGAUGAUCAGCCACACUGGAACUGAGACACGGUCCAGACUCCUACGGGAGGCAGCAGUAGGGAAUAUUGGACAAUGGGCGCAAGCCUGAUCCAGCCAUGCCGCGUGAGUGAAGAAGGCCCUCGGGUUGUAAAGCUCUUUUGUCCGGAAAGAAAGCGCCGGGUUAAUACCCUAGUGUCCUGACGGUACCGGAAGAAUAAGCACCGGCUAACUUCGUGCCAGCAG
rnacentral:rRNA from 1 species